GGGGUUGUGGCUUAGUGGUAGAGCACUUGCCUAGCAAGCGUGAGGCACUGGGUUCAAUUCUCAGCAUCACAU
rfam:Ictidomys tridecemlineatus contig103041, whole genome shotgun sequence.